AAAAAAGCAAGGCUCUGUUUUAUCUUUUGGAUUGGGCUUUCGUACACUUCAGGGAAAUGAAAAUGCAUCAUUCUUGGGUGAACCUAUGCUAAAUCUAAUGGCUGAAGGUUCAAUAAAUGAUGAAACAUGU